GGAUUAGAUACCCUGGUAGUCCACGCUGUAAACGAUGGAUACUAGCUGUUUGUUACACGAUGGUGUAAUGAGUGGCCCAGCGAAAGUAAUAAGUAUCCCACCUGGGGAGUACGUUCGCAAGAAUGAAACUCAAAGGAAUUGACGGGGGCCCGCACAAGCGGUGGAGCAUGUGGUUUAAUUCGAUGAUACGCGAGGAACCUUACCAAGGCUUAAAUGGAUAUUGACAGAUUUGGAGACAGAUUUUUCUUCGGACAGUAUCCAAGGUGCUGCAUGGUUGUCGUCAGCUCGUGCCG
rnacentral:rRNA from 1 species